GCCGAGCUAGGUAACGCUAGCUUGUAACUCGAGUGAGGGCAUUAAGGUGGGCUUG
rnacentral:SRP_RNA from 1 species